rnacentral:rRNA from 1 species
GUGUCAGCAGCCGCGGUAAUACAGAGGGUGCGAGCGUUAAUCGGAUUAACUGGGCGUAAAGGGCGCGUAGGCGGUUGUGUGAGUGUGAUGUGAAAGCCCUGGGCUUAACCUAGGAAGUGCAUCGCAAACGACAUGACUGGAGUAUAAGAGAGGGUGGCGGAAUUUCCGGUGUAGCGGUGAAAUGCGUAGAGAUCGGAAGGAACGUCAAUGGCGAAGGCAGCCACCUGGCUUAAUACUGACGCUGAGGCGCGAAAGCGUGGGGAUCGAACAGGAUUAGAUACCCUGGUAGUCCACGCUGUAAACGAUGAGGACUAGAUGUUGUUAGGGGAACCUAUCAGUAUCGAAGCAAACGCGAUAAGUCUUCCGCCUGGGAAGUACGGCCGCAAGGUUGAA